AUUGAACGCUGGCGGCAGGCCUAACACAUGCAAGUCGAGCGGAUGAAGGGAGCUUGCUCCUGGAUUCAGCGUCGGACGGGUGAGUAAUGCCUAGGAAUCUGCCUGGUAGUGGGGGAUAACGUCCGGAAACGGGCGCUAAUACCGCAUACGUCCUGAGGGAGAAAGUGGGGGAUCUUCGGACCUCACGCUAUCAGAUGAGCCUAGGUCGGAUUAGCUAGGUGGUGGGGUAAAGGCCUACCAAGGCGACGAUCCGUAACUGGUCUGAGAGGAUGAUCAGUCACACUGGAACUGAGACACGGUCAAGACUCCUACGGGAGGCAGCAGUGGGGAAUAUUGGACAAUGGGCGAAAGCCUGAUCCAGCCAUGCCGCGUGUGUGAAGAAGGUCUUCGGAUUGUAAAGCACUUUAAGUUGGGAGGAAGGGCAGUAAGUUAAUACCUUGCUGUUUUGACGUUACCAACAGAAUAAGCACCGGCUAACUUCGUG
rnacentral:rRNA from 1 species